GACCCUUCCCCCACAAACUGUCAGUCUUAUUUCCUUUCCACACCACUAAGAGACCAUCUUGAGGUCCACAAUGAGAUGAAAUCAGAUGCUGGUCCAACUCUUUAAUGAAGACGAAAGCAACACAUAGACAGAUGCUCCUAAAGGUAGAUGAUUUAAAAUUGAUACGAUAAUAUGAAAAUGGCAACAUUGGAUUAAAAUUGUAUAGUUCUUCUAUCCUUUAUAAAGAUUAUUUCCUUGGGUCCUCACUGUAUCCCUUGUGAGCUUUCUUGAAAUGCCCUGGAGUCAAUACAGUGUAAUUAUGGCUCCAUACCAGAGGCUACAAAUUGAUUCCAAACGAGGGAUAUGGUGGGCAUAUUUGGCAGAGUAGGACCCGCCUCUGUUCCUUUUCAUGAUGCCAAUUUCCUUUGUCCAGAAUCUGCUUGAUUUCAAGAGGCAAUAUUCCCACCUACAGAGAGAGAGACUGGAAAGCCCCUAAUUCCUGUCAAGAGAAGUGAUUGUAGUUCUUGAACUGCUAGCUGUGGACCUUUAGACAAAUUAUGCAGCUGCCAGCUUUUGAAAAUAGCAAGGAUACCUGCCCUUCCUUCUUCAUAGGGUUAUUGAGGCAGAACAUAAACUGAUGGACACAAAAUAACGUAUUUAAAAUAUUUUUAAAAGUGGCCUCGGAAUGAAAGAUUCAAGUUGCUAAAAUAAUUAGCAUUAUUAGUCACCAAAGAAGCAGUGGAAUUGAAAAAUUAAAGACAUGGGUUUAGGACCUUUUUUAAAAUUGCAAUCAGAAUAAAUUACAUGGCAAACUCAAUUUCUGCUGCGUGUCCUUUUGGAGAGAAAACUUUGAAAUUACUCAUAUACUUUACUUGUAAUGAGGAAUUUGGAGUAAUAUUUAAACAAGAUCAAAUGUUUCUAAGCUGCAUACUCAUUUGAGUCCAUGUAUUUGUCUCUGACAACUAAAGAGGCAAUAUGGAUGUUGUUAAUCGUUAUACAUCCAAAAUAAAUAGUUCCUUUUAGUUCACUUCUUUUGACCAUAUCCAUGUCUUAUGUACAUAAGAAAAUAAUAAGAUAUUAAUGAGUAUAUUUUCUAAGUCACUCUCCUGAAUCCAGAGUCUUU